GGAUUCCCCUAGUAACGGCGAGUGAAGUGGGAAAAGCUCAACUUUGUAAUCUGGCAGCUUCGCUGUCCGAGUUGUAGUCUCGAGAAAUGUUUUCCGCGCUGGCAUGUGUAUGAGUCUGUUGGAAUACAGCGUCAUAGAGGGUGAGAACCCCGUUCAUGACACAUCUCCCAGUGCUCUGUGAUACAUUUUCGAUGAGUCGAGUUGUUUGGGAAUGCAGCUCAAAAUGGGUGGUAAAUUCCAUCUAAAGCUAAAUAUUGGCGAGAGACCGAUAGCAAACAAGUACCGUGAGGGAAAGAUGAAAAGCACUUUGGAAAGAGAGUUAAAAGUACGUGAAAUUGUUGAAAGGGAAACGCUUGAAGUCAGACGUGCGCAGUGCGAUUCAGCUCUAUUUCGGUAGAGUGUAUUUCGUGCUAUUGCAGGCCAGCAUCGGUUUUGUGAGCCGGAUAAAGGUUAGUAGAAGGUAGCAUCUUCGGAUGUGUUAUAGCUUCUAACUGAAUACGGAUUGCGAGACCGAGGGACGCAGCACGGCGCAAGCCAGAAGAUUCGUCUUCUUCGUGCUUAGGAUGCUGGUGAAAUGGCUUUAAA
rnacentral:rRNA from 1 species